UGAGUAAUGUCUGGGAAACUGCCUGAUGBAGGUAGAUAACCUACGUGGAAACGGAUAGCUAAUACCGCAUGAUGUCGCAAGACCAAAGUGGGGGACCUUCGGGCCUCACGCCAUCGGAUGUGCCCAGAUGGGAUUAGCUAGUAGGUGAGGUAAUGGCUCACCUAGGCGACGAUCCCUAGCUGGUCUGAGAGGAUGACCAGCCACACUGGAACUGAGACACGGUCCAGACUCCUACGGGAGGCAGCAGUGGGGAAUAUUGCACAAUGGGCGCAAGCCUGAUGCAGCCAUGCCGCGUGUGUGAAGAAGGCCUUAGGGUUGUAAAGCACUUUCAGCGAGGAGGAAGGCGUUGUAGUUAAUAGCUGCAACGAUUGACGUUACUCGCAGAAGAAGCACCGGCUAACUCCGUGCCAGCAGCCGCGGUAAUACGGAGGGUGCAAGCGUUAAUCGGAAUUACUGGGCGUAAAGCGCACGCAGGCGGUUUGUUAAGUCAGAUGUGAAAUCCCCGAGCUUAACUUGGGAACUGCAUUUGAAACUGGCAAGCUAGAGUCUUGUAGAGGGGGGUAGAAUUCCAGGUGUAGCGGUGAAAUGCGUASAGAUCUGGAGGAAUACCGGUGGCUAAGGCGGCCCCCUGGACAAAAGACUGACGCUUCAGGUGCGAAAAGCGUGGGGGAGCAAACAGGAUUAGAUACCCCUGGGUAGUCCCACCGCUGUAAACCGAUGUCCAACUUU
rnacentral:rRNA from 1 species